UACAGAGGUCUCAAGCGUUGUUCGGAUUCAUUGGGCGUAAAGGGUGCGUAGGCGGCGCGGUAAGUCGGGUGUGAAAUCUCGGGGCUUAACUCCGAAACUGCAUUCGAUACUGCCGUGCUUGAGGACUGGAGAGGAGACUGGAAUUUACGGUGUGGCGGUGAAAUGCGUAGAUAUCGUAAGGAAGACCAGUGGCGAAGGCGGGUCUCUGGACAGUUCCUGACGCUGAGGCACGAAGGUCAGGGGAGCAAACGGG
rnacentral:rRNA from 1 species